GGUUAAGUGACGAAGCGUAUACGGUGGAUGCCUUGGCAGUUAGAGGCGAUGAAGGACGUGUAAGUCUGCGAAAAGCUGUGGUGAGCCGACAAAAUGCAUUUGAGCCACAGAUUUCCGAAUGGGGAAACCC
rnacentral:rRNA from 2 species